GGAAAAUAAAAAAAUCUCCGCGCGACCGUUUCGGAUCGGAUUUUCCUCUGCCGUCGUUUCGUCGGUUUGUCUGCUGCGGGCGCUGCAGCGAUUUUUAUUCGUGUCGUAAUGUUUGUGGUGAUCGGUCGGAAGUGAUUGCGUUCGAGACCCCUGUACCAGUGAAACGGGACGUUGUGCGGUGAUUGCGCGGGGGCUGGACAGUGGACAGCACUGACCUCGGUUUGGCCGCGGCCGCGCUACAUUCCGGAUUGCGCGAUACCGCCGAAUUCCGGGAACAUUAUCCGCGGAGCCACGGAUCAUCGAAUACACCAUCUAAGAAGAUAGCGAGACGAUAUGAAAUGGACUGUGAAAAAUUUAGGGCGUUUGGGAGGAUCUGGAUUUUCUUGUUUUGUGUAGAAAUGGAAGCAAUAACAAACGUAUGAAGAUAAUCAUCGGUAAACGUAGAAAAAUAGUUAAUUUUUUGUGCAAAAACUGUGAAAACAUGCUGCAAUAAUAUUACAAGAAGACGAAACACGGAAAAGUCGAGAAAACGGUCCACAAGCCGUCAGCAUCCUACUGAACUCGGGAGAAGUGAGCGCGCAUUCGGUGUGUUUGGCACAGAUCACAUUGAAGUGGACCAGUCAGUGUGGGAGGAGUGGGUGAGGAAAACUCGGUGCUACGGGGAAAUGGGUGUACAAAAUUAGGUGGAAGAAAUGUCACACUGUUCGGGCGAGAGGAAAUCCCGGUGCCGCCGUGCUGAACGGUGAAGAAAAAUUUGUUCCCAUUCUAAACCUGGAACGGUGAGAUAGAGAGCGAAAAAGGUGACGUCAUCGAGUGUGAUAUUCGGAGGUAUCGAGUGGUGUUUUCGGUUCCAUGAGAUUGAAUAUUUCGUGCUACGACGGCGUAGCGAAGGAAUAAAGCGGAAUAAAGUGAAUCAAGAGGACCGUAAACAGGUACCGUUUUUUUCUACGUCCGUGUGAUUGUUUUUGUUUCGCCGUUUUUCUGCUGCCUGUGUCAAGUGUUACUGCAGCGUGCAGUCUCCGAUGUGAUUGUGGUGCUGUAAGUGAGCGUGCGAAAGAUAGAUAACGAGAAGGUAGAAAGUUGCCACCCUUUACCGGUGAGGAAGUUUUCAAUCAGCUGAUAAGCCAAGUGUCGGGGAAGGAUUUGCAUGUUGUGGCUCGCUCGGUGGUGCAAGUGUGAAAACGGGGUUCAGGGUGGAUUCUUUUCAUUUGUCAAUUAAGCCGUGACACAGUAUCAGAAUGAAUCCCGCAAUCAGUGAACAUGAGGCGGCCUCGCUGGCCGCAGAAAUGUUCGAUCAUUUCUGCGCCGCGACCACCAUGCGCCAGAUCCUCGGUUUGUACAGAAACAUGUGUGAUAUCUUGAACCUGCGGCCCGGCCCGUUAAAUGAGUUCUAUCCGAAGUUCAAAGCGAAAAUACGGAACUGGAAGGCGCAAGCCCUGUGGAAAAAGUUUGACGCCCGGGCCGCCCACCGGGUCUACAACAAGGGCACCGCCGCUAGCGGCACCCGUGUACUAGUCAUCGGCGCAGGACCCUGCGGUCUGCGUACGGCAAUCGAAGCACAACUGCUCGGUGCUAAAGUGGUUGUGGUAGAAAAACGUGAUAGGAUUUCUAGGAAUAACGUACUACAUCUGUGGCCAUUUCUGAUCACCGAUCUCAAAGCGCUCGGAGCGAAAAAGUUCUACGGUAAGUUCUGUGCCGGUUCGAUUGAUCACAUCUCUAUCCGGCAGCUGCAGUGUAUUCUGCUAAAGGUGGCCCUCCUCUUGGGUGUCGAGGUGCACGAAGGCUUGUCCUUCGUGCGAGAAAUUGAACCCAAAGAUGGCUGUGGCUGGCGAGCGGCCGUCUCUCCGGAAGACCACGCCGUAUCGCACUACGAAUUCGAUGUACUGAUCGGAGCCGAUGGUAAACGAAACACCUUGGAAGGUUUCAAGCGAAAGGAAUUCCGCGGUAAGCUUGCAAUCGCCAUCACUGCCAACUUCAUCAACAAGAAAACCGAAGCGGAAGCCAAGGUGGAGGAAAUCAGCGGCGUAGCGUUCAUCUUCAACCAGUCUUUCUUCAAGGAGCUAUACCAAACGACCGGUAUCGAUCUGGAGAACAUCGUUUACUACAAAGAUGAAACACACUACUUUGUGAUGACCGCCAAGAAGCACAGUCUCCUGGAUAAGGGUGUCAUAAUUCAGGACUACGGCGAUCCUGCCGAAUUACUCUCAUCAGCAAAUGUAGACACGUCCAAAUUGUUAGACUAUGCGCGAGAAGCGGCGAACUUCUCGACCAAAUACCAAAUGCCGAACCUGGAGUUUGCCGUCAACCACUACGGCAAACCGGACGUAGCUAUGUUCGACUUCACAUCGAUGUUCGCCGCCGACAAUUCCUGCAAAAUCACAGUCCGCAAAAACUACCGGUUACUUUCCUGCCUCGUCGGUGACAGUCUGUUGGAACCAUUCUGGCCCACCGGAUCCGGUUGUGCACGAGGGUUCCUGUCCAGUAUGGACGCGGCCUAUGCAAUCAAAUUGUUCUCCAACUCGAAGAACAGUGCCCUGGGAGUGAUUGCGCAGCGAGAAUCCAUCUAUCGGUUACUCGCACAAACCACUCCGGAAAAUCUGCAUCGGGACAUUGGUGCAUAUACGCUGGAUCCAUCGACGCGGUAUCCGAACCUGAACAAGUCCUCGGUGAACAUGAUCCAGGUGAAACAUCUGCUGGACACCGAUGAUCCGGCACUACUGGAGCAGCUGUUCCUGGACACGAAUGCGCUUACGGCCGGACCGGAAGUUACCAUUACGAGACGCAAACGGCGAACGAACGACACGGUACCGCUGGGUACGGUGCUGUUGCGGUGGGUUAAAUCACAGCUCAAGGGUAACGACUUUGUGCAGGAGCUGAGUGAAGCGUCGCAGUGUUUCACCAAUGGACGGGUGCUGUGCACCCUGAUCAAUCGAUACCGGCCGGAUUUGGUGAACUUGGACGAGCUGGAAGGAUGUGCGGCGUUCGAGUACAACGAAGUGGCGAUAUCGAUUUUCGAAGAUCAUUUGGGAAUCCCGCGAAUAAUGUCCGGCCAGGAAUCGCUCACGUUGGCCGGGGUCGAUUCGAAACUGUGGCUCAACUACCUGGAACAGAUAUGCGAAGUGUUCCGCGGCGAGAUUCCGCACGUCAAACACCCCAAGCUGGACUACGCCGAGUUCAAGCAGAAGCAGCAGAUCAACAGCAUGGAGGAGUUUUCCAAGUUGCGACGGUUCGCGGCCCUCAAGGCCACGGCACCGGCUGCCGUUCCGGUGAUCGUACCCGGGCCCGGAACCAUCGGGGCCGGUGCGGGCACCGGACGGAAGUCGUCCAACUACCACGAGGAGGAACGCAUCAAACGGAGCCGCAAGGUGCUGGCAGCGGAAUCUAGUCCAAUGGCCUCACCACAGACCGACACGACGAAACGGGCGAAGAAACGCCGCAGCUAUGAAAAGUUUGGCAACAUCGAGGAACGAACCCGCCGUCUGCAGGAGAUCGAAGCGAACCGGAUCGAUCGGCAGACGAAGCGGCGCCUGGCCCGGGCCCAGCAAACGCAAAACUUCUUCACCAGUCUGCACAUGCUGCAGGCGAACACUUUGCUGCGCGAAAGUGGCGACAGCUCCAGCGCCUUCGAGGACUAUUCGCUGUUCCUGUACCGGCAGUCGGCGCCGGAGUUCACCGAUCGCGUCAAGGAGCUGGAACGGAAGCUGCUCUAUCCCGAUCGCGAUCGCGGCCUAGCUGCGGCGUACCCGAAGGGCCUCGCCGGUGCCGAUGGCGAGCAAAUUAGCGAUCGGAUCAAAUCGAUGGAGCAGCGGAUCGGGGGGAAGCACGUCCCGAUCGCCGAGAAGAAGCCGAAAGAUCUGCUGCGGGCGAUCGGCAAGAUCGACAGCAGCGAUUGGAAUGUGAAGGAGAUCGAGAAGAAAAUCGAACAAUCGAAGAAAGCGACCGACAUUGGCAAGAGCCGUGAACGCGUUCCGAAGUGGAACCGCGAGCAAUUUUUAGCUCGCCAGAAUAAGCUCACCCAGCAGCCGGACGACGAAAAGUACAGGGACAUCGACAGUUCACUGAAAGCGAUCGACCGACAGCUGAAAGAGGGCCACAAUCUCGAUCUUGGUGAGCGCGGUAAGAACAAGGUGGCCUCCAUCGCUGGACAACUCCUCAGCACGAAGCAGCAACAGCAACAAUCGAACCAAAAAUCAACCUCCAAGGCCGCGUUGGUUCUCACAUCAUCGGGCGUCGCGGAGAAGUGCCACUUCUGCAAGCAGCGCGUCUAUUUGAUGGAAAAGAUUUCCGCUGAGAACCUGACCCUGCACAGAUCCUGCCUCAAGUGCCACCACUGCCAUACCAAUCUUCGACUCGGAGGUUACGCUUUCGAUCGGGACGAUCCCGAGGGCAAGUUCUACUGUACGCAACACUUCAAACUGCCAUCGAAAACUUACAAACCGGUGCCAAAGAAGUCGCUGCCUCGAACACCGCAAAAGGACAAACUACCUUCGGCAGCUACCGCAGCAGCAAUUGCUUCUACCCAGCCUUCCACGCCGGAUUCGAAAUCGUCAGCAUUCAGCAACUUCGAUCUGCUGGAUCGCGGCGAAACGCCGGAACGAAUCGAGUUCGAGAACGCCGACGAGUCCAUUUCGGACGGCGAAGUUCCGAUGGAGGUCAUCGACGAGAACGAGUGGACCGAUCGGAACUUUGGUACCGAGUCGGACGAGUCGGAAGAGGACACAUCCAGCUCGGAUGAGUCGGAGAGCGACAGCGAAUCGGACUAUGAGGAAGCCGCCGGGUCGCCACUUGGCGCCCAAACGCUACAGCUGGCGUCCGAGUGGAUCAGCGAUAAACGGUUCAACAGCAUGGUCGACAGCGAUGAUGAUUUCUAUGGUUAUUCGAGCGAAGAUGAUGAAGCGGAUUCGCAAACCGAAGGCGAAGAGCUGGCUCGGGCGCGUGAGAUGCGGAUGCAGGAAGUCAAACUGAUGCCUCCUCUAACGCUUCCAACCGAUACGGAGACUGAGCCUGCACCAAAAGAUCCUAUCGUACUUCCUAAUCUUAGUAUCCCUACAGUCUAUAACCUACCGCCGCCGCAGCCAACAGAAUCUGCUGAAGAUAAGGCUCUGAAGGAGAGAAUGCUACAGAAGCUUAGCGUUCGUGAGCAAUGGCUUAACUCCUCCACCAGCACGCCGCCGCCCUCGUCAUCGUCGGCACUCGACGCCUCAGACGCUUCUAAGCCUAAAACUUCUUUCUUUGGAGGCCUUAUGAAUAGUCUCAGUACAUUUAUUAAAUCGGACAAACCAUCACCCAAACUCCAAACACCCCCACCUUCUUUGGCUUCACCAGUGCCUCAAACGGUCAAUCAAUCUAAACAGACCACGCCCACUUCCAUGCAAACACCAAACAAAAACGAGCUUACACCGGCCUCGCCAAUGCUUCCGCGUCAAGCACAAUCCCCUACUGCACUGAAACCACCUCCUUCGCCAACGCCAUCCUUGAAGAAGCAGAAACGUCCCGAUGUGCCACCAUCCCCAACGCCUUCAUUGAAAAAAUCGAAAACUCCCGAAAUUCCACCUUCCCCAACGCCGUCGCUCAAAAAGCACCGUAGACACAAGAAAUCAUCCGCCUCACCAACCCCUUCCGCUGGUAGCGAAGAUGCAACGUUCGACGACGCGCUAAGCAGCAGCGGACGCAGUACCCCAUUAUCAAGGCGUCGCCAUCGUCCCAGAUCGUCCAGCAAUGUGCGAGACGAUGCCGAUGAGUUUCUUGAGCAAAUCAAGAAAGAUCAGGCAGCACUGGACAAGCGCAUGAAGAAGGUCGAUGCCAAGAAAUUCCAAAGCAAUAUGCAAUCCAUUAAGUCAGCCGUAGAAGGACCCCGCAUUGUAGGGGUUCGCAGCGAGAAAGAUGUCUCAAAAUUUUUCAACGCCUCUAAGAAGGAACAGUUUGAACAGAAACCGAAACAUCUACCGAACAAAGAUGUCUCCGCUUUGCAAGGGGUCAAUCUUUCUAAAUACUUCCCGAUAAGCAAUUCGACUCCAGCUAGCGCUAAAGCAAGCAUCGGAACACCAUCUUCUGUUUCCAGUGUUGAGGGGUCUCCUAUGGUGUCCCGCAAAAAACCCGACGAAGUUGAAAUGAAGAAGUACUUCGGUCCCACUACAACGAAAUCGUCGCCGUCCACCCCGUCAUCCUCGAAGGUAUCACCGGCCAUAUCGCGGAAGAACAGCGUUGAAUCUCCGAGUGUAACUCGAAAGCUCACUCCUGCUGCAUUAGCACCGAAACCUCCGGUCGUACCACUUCCUCCAAAAAAGAACAUUUUAGCUUUCCAGGUUAUCAAAAAAUCCAAAACUGAAUCUGCCGUACCAGCGGCUGCUCCGGUUAAAAAUGCACUUGCUUUCCAAACCGUGGCUAAGCAAAAGUCACAAUCCCCAAUACCAGAAACAAAUGCGGUCGGCUCCCCUCCAAAAACUACUAAUUUACGGAUAUCUGCUGACUCAGACGAACAACUGUUUGAAAAUCUGCUAAAAGACGAUAAGCCUUCACUCAAGCUGACAUGCAAACCGACGCAAGAUCUGAAAUCGAUUAGUUCUCCGAAGCAACCUUUAACUCCCGAUGAAGCUCUUUUUGAAGAUCUGCUCAAAGAAAUCGAAGAACCACCCAAACCUGCCCCUAAGACACCUUCCCCAAAGACUAAAAAAAAGUCCCCAACCCCUCCAAAACGCCAACCCAUGAAUCUAGAAGAUAAACUCUUCGACGAUUUGCUGGAAGAAGGUGACGAUUCUCUACUGGACAAUUUUGACGAGAUUCUUGGACUUCCGAAGAAGCGACAAAGCCCCAAGCCUGCUAAAAAGAAAAGAUCCCCCACGAAGAAAUCCCCACCCCGACUCUCGCCAAAGCACUCGCCAUCUUCAGCAAAAAAGCAGCUUUCUAGCGUUCCAAAAAUGACCAUCAAACGACCCCCCUUCAAGAUUACCGUUCCGGUUAAAAUGCAGGAAACUUUGGAGGAGAUCUACCUCGCGAGCCUCUCCAAACUCGAUUCACGUUCAACUUCGACCUCCAGCCUGAACAGCAAACUCAGCGAUCCCGGCGAUUUAGGUAAGGUCGAUGAAGUCUUCGAGAAGCUGCUCGAAGAGCCGGAACCCACACCGGUCGGUGCACCAGCAGAAUCGCUUAAAAUUCAGCCCUUUCAGGCCCCCCAGACGAAAGCCAUGCCGAAUUCACUUGGAGUCAAACUGCAAGAAGAAAAAGCCUCUAGCAGGGAAAAAACGCAACCGAGGACCGUGGCAUCGCCGGUAUUGCCGGUAGAGGCGCCGUCAUCAUCACCACCAUUACAUAUGAUCGUACCACGCAAAACAACCCCACCGGAUACUCCCAGAUCGCAGCGUAGAAUAGUUCAGAAUGGCACUUCAAUCGAGUCAUGCGCGAAGGUCGUCCAGGUUCAAGAAUCGAAGAUUCCCGUAUCAACGCCCGUCCUAGCGAGAAAAGUGAUGCCGUCUCCGGUAGGAACUCCAACACUGACAAAGAAGUUCCCUCAGAAUUCGACCCCUGGAAACGUUGUGGAUCAGACAGACAAAACCCCAUUAUCCGUUUCAACGAAUGCUCAAAAGAUUGUUCCGAUGCAUUUGGAAAAGACACCUGCCAAGGUUUUAAUCACCCAGAACGUUAUUGCUCCGAAAUCUGUCGCGAUUGUUCAAAAAGAUUUAUCAGUGGAGAAGCCAGCUGCAGUAGUCCCGGAUGCAGUUUCGAAUGCGGACAAGACAGUUUCGUCGAAUACUCCUUUAGCGGUUCGAAAAAUAGUUGCUUCCGCGUCUUCAAUUGGAGUUGAUACAGGAGUUCAAAUGCUACAAAAUAAUCUUCAGAGUCCCACGAAAGUACUCGAAAGUCCGGCCAAAACGGUAAAGUCCGAGCCCACCAACGUAACGCCAGUGAUGUCUCGAAAAGUUGUUCAAACAGAUACCACUGCGAAGAGCCAACAAAUUAUCAGUUCAAACUCUUCCGAUAUCAAGGCAGUUUCGCAGCCGACUCCGAUUUUCAAUCGGAAGGCAAUUUCUUCCAGUGAAGUCGAUAAAUCAAAAAUUGCAGUAGCCCCGGUUGCAAAUUCGAACGCGGAAAAUGCAAUUUCGUCGAAUACUCCUUUAGCGGUUCGAAAAACAGUUGCUGUCGCGAAAUCAAUUGAAGUUGGUACAGAAGUUAAGACGUUACAAAAUAGUCUUGAGCGUGGCACGAAAGCACUUGAGAUUCCGGUAAAAACGGUCCCCAAUUUAACGCCAGUGAUGGCUCGAAAAGUGGUUCAAACAGAUACCACAGCUAAGUGUGAACAAGUUAUCAGUUCAAACUCUUCCGAUGUUAAGACUCCGAUAAUCAAUCGAAAGGCUACCUCUUCCAAUGAAGCUGAUAAACCGAAAACUAGGGUUGUUCCCGACAAAGAAGUAACCUCAAAGGUCACUUCAACAAUGCCUCGCUACACUGUUCCUACCAAUGCGGCUCCCGUUAAAGCUCAGAUGGAUCAACCGACAGCUACUCAGGCUCAGCAAACCAAAAUUCUUCCUGAAAAAGUCGUUACUUCGAAAUCAGCUGUGGUUGUGCCGUCCAAAACUAAUCAUCCAGCAUUAAUGCGGGUCGAGGGUGCUUCUGAUUCUAAGCCGAUUCAGGAAAUGCAACAAAAAGUAGAAAACCCAAACAAUAAUGUCAUGCCACAACCAACACCAGCGUUGUGCCAUAAAGCUAUUCGAACUGGACAAGUGGAGACACAUAAAUCUCUGAAUAGUUCAUCCGGUGAUGUUACACCUUCCGUGCAAGGUACAUCUUCUUUGAUGAUGGCCAACAAAGCGGAUGCUCCACCGAAAAAAGAUACUCAAAGCUCGAUCGAAUGUUCACCUUCUACGAUUCAGCCUCCACGGGAGCGGAAGCUUUCAUCUGACGAAAUCUGUUUCGAAGAACUUCGCAAGAAACAUGAAGCUAUUUUCCGCGAUCAAAGAGAAUCAACUAGCGCAGAACUUUCAUCCAACGAACCUCAAUUGGUGCGUGUAUUGGAAGUGGAUGUUCCUCGAACCCUCUCAGAGUUCCGUAGCACCAUAAUCACUAGACAAUCUCGCUCGGAAGACAGACUGGACGGAGAUGAAGCCCCGGUCAUAAGCGAAGGCGUAAACCAACUGGCCAUGGAAAUUAUGCCUGGAGCCGACCUGGAUGAUACGGUCGACGAGCUGCCCGUACCAGUCGAGCGUAAGAAAUCCUCUUUCCAGAAGAUGUUUAACAAGCUUCAACGGGCUAAAACCAUUGCUGCACCGGAAGGUUCUUCCCUGAAGAGUCUUCUGUCCCCCUUCCGAAGGGAGGAGUGCAAAAUGGAAGUUAUUCGGGAGGGGUCAAUUAAAAAACGAUCAACGGACCCAGCGAAGCCUAAGCCGACCGAAGAAUCCACAGAUUUGAUGCAAAUCCACCUGGAUCGCUCGACUCAAAUUAAGAAAAAGUACACCAAGGAGAAGGCUCCGUCGCCUCCGAAAGCAGUGACAUCUUCUCCGCCAAUGAUUCAGCCGGUGAUGGAACGCAAACCAUCGUUCAAGAUACAAUCCAAGGUGGAUGAAACUUCAGCUCCACCAAUCCAAGUUCCGAUACCGUUGGAGAGGAAGCUAUCGUUGAGGAAACAAGGUCAACCUUCGAUUCAAAAGGCAUCUAUCGAACGAAAUUCUUCUGAGGGUCAGACAAAAGUGGAAUCUGCAUUUGUUCCUAUCCCAUUGGAUCGAAGGCAGCCAAUUAAAAAUCAAAGCCCACCCCUGAUUCCUGAAGAAAGAGCUCCCAAACCCUUAGAAAGGAAAGUUUCUAUCAAGAGUCAACAAGCUGAACGUGCUCUUGAGAAGCCGAAACCAAUUGAACGACGCUCUUCUUUCAAACAACAAAUCCCCGAUGACAUUGACCAACAACGUAGCAUUCUUAGCCGUGAACCAGUUGUUAAGAAACGUGAAAUUUUGAGCUUUGACGACCUGCUGGAUAGUGCUGAUAUACCAGAGGUGAUUAAUCUUGACGAACUAUUAUCGUCCGGCGAUGAACAUGAUCAGAAACCGAUCCUCAAAACAACCACAAAUAAGAAUAAUUUAUUGGAACCUGCUCCAAUACCUGCACCUCGUAGAAGAAGCCCCAGUAUUCAAGAUCCUACGAUUACCCCAAGACAUAGUAUUAAUUCGUUGCCCGAAAAAGAAUUCCUCCAGGCUUCGAGAGAAUUAACAGAAAAGUACCUUUCGCAGACACAAAAGCAGGCAACAACUCUCAAGGUCGAUCCUAAAUUAGAGCUAAUGAUGACUACACUAACCGAGGUUUCUGAAUCUCCAGAUCAAACAGAUUUGUCCAAAAAGGAAGAUUCAGUCAAGACCAAAACUAUACCUCGCGAUCUACCGGACAUCGUUAGCAUGACCAAGAAACCAGCCAUCGAUGAACCGCCGGCAUUGAACAUCUUGAAUCACACCGAAAAAAUCAAACAGAUGACCCCUCACGUCCCUCAACAGAUCCAGGUGUACACUCUCCACACGGACGACAGUCAACACGGUGAACCCCAACCGUCAACCAGCGGAGUAACCAGUAACUACGCCAGCAUCCUGAAGGACAUUUCAUCCGGCCUGAUGGGAACGGACCUUGUUGGCCCGGUAUUCUACGAGCCACCGCCAACGAUCGAUAGGAAACCCAAAUCCGACUUCACGACCUAUAAACAAAUACUGGAGGAGAAAGCCAGAGAACCUUUGGAACUGAACCCGCAACAGCCGCAGCGCCCAAUCCGUAAACCGAGGGCAUUAGAACGAAGCAUUUCGCCGGCCGUCGUCGGUGGAAGACCAUUUGACAAUUCCAUUUGCAUCGAUCCCUGGCGUGCAAAGCGGUCGUCAAGUAUCGAGAACCUGGUUGUUGAACAGGUCUUUGUCAAGCAGGACGAUAAGGUCGUCGAUACAUUCUACAUAGUUCCGGAGAAGUCGAAGCAACUGAAGAGGCGAUCCAAGUCAUUCGAUCGGUUGGAGGUUCCGGGAGUUAUGGGUAGACGACACAGCAAGAAGUCUCUGGAAGAACUGCGGGACUAUGGGUUUGAUAUAGAACCGCCUUCUUCUUGCAAACACUUGGUGAAUCCUCGGCUACGACAUCUGGACUUUGAGGAAUCGGAGGAGGAUCUGUCGAGUCUGAGGAUUAACCGGCGAAGAGACAACUUGAGAAAGUGUAAAUCAUCUACCGAUACGUCGAAGCUUGAUGUAGAUGCGACGAGAGUUGAUAUUGAUAGGGAAUCUCCGAUACCCCGUAGCACUGAUUUUUCCAAAUGGGAAGCCAUUUUAGAUCGUGGUGUUCCGUACUACAAGGAACCUCCAGUUCACAUGAAAGAAGAUAUCAAAACCUUAGAACGAAAGCUGGAAGAUUUGAAAACGGAAUGUAAACCCCGUAGAAAGAUAACCGUUAAGAAAGCCAUCCCGAAGGACUAUGACCCGGAAGAAUAUGUUCCAAAAAUUAACCGCCGAGCAUUCGACUCGUUUGAAGUUCCUGAUUCCGAGCUUCCUAAAUGGUACGAUCCAGAAGAAUAUGUGCCCAAAGCCCAACGUGGUCAUGUAAUCGAUCAUGAUGUUCCUGUCAGCAGUGCUGCCAGAUUACGUCGUUUGAAUGAUUCGGAUAUUCCAUGCACUAACACCGUUCGUCCACAACGGUCUUCGGCCUAUGAAUUAGAUAUUCCUACCAGUCGUUCGGGCGGAAGAUACCAUAACGAACCAAUGCAUCUGGACGAUAUUCCAAUGACACACACAUUGCCAAGAACUAAACCAUCGACGCACGUACCUUACACCUCAAGUAGAACAUACGACUUGCCGGCUAGGACUGUCCCAAGAACUGCAUACUCUCAUAGACCAACUGCUGACAGUAGCAACAUCGUCAAUCGCAGUCAAAGACUGCACCAAAAGGCGAACCGAUUCAUCCGUUCGCAAGUAUCCCGAAACGAUCCCAACCCAUACAUUCGGGAGAUGCUGGAGAACGAAAGCGAUGACGACGCCUAUCCUAUAACUACGUCCGCCUCUCAUCGCACCCCCAUUACGACCAGUUCGUAUCACCCGAUUUCCACCUACGGUUCCUCCGGUGCGGCUGCCUUGAGUCGUAUCACCACAAAAGCCAUCACCCAACCGUCGCGGAUGACGCACUACACUCGCAAAGACGUUCCUUCUUCCUCGGGUAGCGGUGGCAGAUCUUACCGCAGAGGUGGUGGCGAUCAGCACGAUCGCCGAGACAAUUGUUCAAUCUCCUAGACGUUGUUGUCGAAACCAUCCACUCCUCGUCAAGUAGUAGAAAAUUUACCAUUCGGAAGCCAUUAGUCCAAAUUAGACCAUUCGUCACUCAUUUAUUGUAGAAAAAAAAAGUUAAAGUAAAACAUAGAAAAUACAACGCAACACACUAGAUCACCCUGUCAUAUCAAAUAGUUCUGGAUUUUGGGUACGAUUUAAGCUGAAAUGAAGAAAGGAAAGGAAAAUUAUUCGAAAUCAAGCGUUUUAAACAGAGAAAUCAGAAGGGAAGAGAGGGUGCAUCCGAUUCGGAAUCGGCCUCGGAGGAGAUCAACUCGGCGACGGAGAUUUCCACCGAUUCCGAGUUCGAUCACGAACCGACCCAUCGGCUGCCGCCGCGAAUCUUCAUCGACGAUACGCACCUGCGACGACCG